rnacentral:rRNA from 1 species
AUUGCACGCUGGCGGCAGGCCUAACACAUGCAAGUCGAGCGAGCGGCGGACGGGUGAGUAAUGCCUGGGAAUUGCCCAGUCGAGGGGGAUAACAGGUGGAAACGACUGCUAAUACCGCAUACGAUUGGAUUGCCCAGGAGGGAUUAGCUAGUUAGUGAGGUAAUGGCUCACAAAGGCGAAGGUACCUAGCUGGUCUGAGAGGAUGAUCAGCCACGCUCGAACUGAUAAACGGUCCAGACUCCUACGGGAGGCAUCAGUGGGGAAUAUUGCAGAAUUGGGCAAACCCUGAUGAAGCCAUGCCGCGAGUGUGAAGAAGGCCUUCGGGUUGUAAAGCACUUUCAGCGAGGAGGCGUUACUCGCAUAAGAAGCACCGGCUAACUCCGUGCCAGGAGCCGCGGUAAUAC